UAAUAAAUAGGUAGUUACUUUAGAUAUAAGAGUAGGUAAGUAAUUUAAUUUUUCAUUAACAAACGCAAUUCGUCACAAAACAUAAAAAUAAACAGAAAAAUAUUAAUUUAAUUUCAUUUCACCACGGUACACUUCGGGACAUAUAAAAGUGGAGCAAUCCCUUCUCGAGUCACAGUUACGUGCAGCCAAGAUGAAGUGGUUGGGCCUUUUUGCGAUUGUUUUGGCUUUGUCCUCCUACAUUAUUAUGGUGAAUGCUGAGCAAGACUACACCAAGCAUUACGCUGAACUCGCGUCCCCCGUCCCCGACAGUGUGAACGUGGACGACAUGGUGUCCAGCCUCCUCAGAGCCGGACAGAAUGUUUAAUUCACUCCUUUUCUCUGUCUUCAAGUGUAAUCCCACUAAUUAGAAAAUUUUGUGAUAUUUAUAUUCCUUAUUUUAAUGUUUUUAUUUCUAUAGAAUGAAAGAAGCGUGUUAAUGUUA